ACGGAAGGCAGCAGUGGGGGAUAUUGCACAAUGGGCGCAAGCCUGAUGCAGCGAUGCCGCGUGAGGGAAGAAGGUUUUCGGAUUGUAAACCUCUGUCGACAGGGACGAAAAUGACUGUACCUGUGAAGGAAGCUCCGGCUAACUACGUGCCAGCAGCCGCGGUAAUACGUAGGGAGCGAGCGUUAUCCGGAAUUACUGGGUGUAAAGGGAGUGUAGGCGGGACUGUAAGUCAGAUGUGAAAUAUGCCGGCUCAACUGGCAGACUGCAUUUGAAACUGCGGUUCUUGAGUGAAGUAGAGGUAAGCGGAAUUCCUAGUGUAGCGGUGAAAUGCAUAGAUAUUAGGAGGAACAUCAGUGGCGAAGGCGGCUUACUGGGCUUUAACUGACGCUGAGGCUCGAAAGCGUGGGGAGCAAACAGGAUUAGAUACCCUGGUA
rnacentral:rRNA from 1 species